rnacentral:rRNA from 1 species
UACGAAGGGGGCUAGCGUUGCUCGGAAUCACUGGGCGUAAAGCGCACGUAGGCGGACUAUUAAGUCGGUGGUGAAAUCCUGGAGCUCAACUCCAGAACUGCCUUUGAUACUGGCGAUCUCGAGUCCGGGAGAGGUGAGUGGAACUGCGAGUGUAGAGGUGAAAUUCGUAGAUAUUCGCAAGAACACCAGUGGCGAAGGCGGCUCACUGGCCCGGUACUGACGCUGAGGUGCGAAAGCGUGGGGAGCAAACAGG